GCAGCCAGGCUCAGCCCAGACGGAGGUCUUAUUUUAUUUGCUGAUUGGUUAUUUUCUGCUUUUCUCGGCUCCUGGCGGCAGCCCCCUCUUUCUGGGAACAGCUGCAUUCUGAAGGUUGGAAAUGAGUUGCCAUGCAGACAACCUGCAGCGACACAGGAAAUAUUGGAGCAAAUCUUUUUUUUAGACGAGAAAAUCCAAGCCUUUUGGUCUAAUGUCGUCAGCCUAAAGAGAGCAAAUCACCAUUGCGGCUUUUCAGAAAAUGAACUGAACGAUGUCGGGCAUGGAAGCAAUCUUUUGAACUUCCAGUAUGCAAGCA